AUUGAACGCUGGCGGCAUGCCUUACACAUGCAAGUCGAACGGUAACAGGUCUUCGGAUGCUGACGAGUGGCGAACGGGUGAGUAAUACAUCGGAACGUGCCUAGUAGUGGGGGAUAACUACUCGAAAGAGUGGCUAAUACCGCAUGAGAUCUACGGAUGAAAGCAGGGGAUCGCAAGACCUUGUGCUACUAGAGCGGCCGAUGGCAGAUUAGGUAGUUGGUGGGAUAAAAGCUUACCAAGCCGACGAUCUGUAGCUGGUCUGAGAGGACGAUCAGCCACGCUGGGACUGAGACACGGCCCAGACUCCUACGGGAGGCAGCAGUGGGGAAUUUUGGACAAUGGGCGAAAGCCUGACCCAGCAAUGCCGCGUGCAGGAUGAAGGCCUUCGGGUUGUAAACUGCUUUUGUACGGAACGAAAAGCCCCGGGUUAAUACCCUGGGGUCAUGACGGUACCGUAAGAAUAAGCACCGGCUAACUACGUGCCAGCCGCCGCGGUAA
rnacentral:rRNA from 1 species